rnacentral:rRNA from 1 species
GCUGACAACUUCACAUGGACCGUCGUUGUCGUGUAUGGGGCAACCCAGGAUGAGUUCAAGGUCGAUUUUCUCCAUGAAUUGGUUAAUCUGGCAAAAGAUAAUCCCUAUCCCAUUCUUAUAGGUGGGGAUUUCAACUUGCUUAUUCCAAAUGAGAAAAGCCGCGAUAGGUUCGAUAAUCAUUGGCCUUUCCUUUUCGAUCAUGUCAUCGACAGUCUAGAUUUGCGAGAGGUUUCUAUGAUUGGAAGACAAUUCACAUGGGCGAACAGUCUUCCGGAAUCGACAUAUGAGAAACUAGAUCGCGUUUUAAUGAAUAUCGACUGGGAAUCAAAAUUUCCUAUGGUUUUUGUUCGUGCUCUACCUCGUACCGAGGCUAUAUCAGACCACGCACCCAUUCUUCUAACUACUUGGUUGAGACCACAACAUAGACGCAAGUUCAAGUUCGAUUUUGGGUGGUUACUUUGGGAUGUCUUCCAUGACAUGGUCAAGGAGGUGUGGGAGAAAUCAUUCAUCGGGCCUACCCCAAUACAGAAAUGGAAUAACAAAAUGUGUGCAUUACGUAAAUUCCUUGGUGGUUGGGCCAGGCAUAUGGUGGGUAUUCUCAAAAAGGAGAAGUUUCGUCUUUCGUCUAUCAUUGAUGAAUUAAAAGCUUUGGCAGAGGUUAGACCUCUAUCUGAGCAUUAA